AUACGUAGGGAGCAAGCGUUGUCCGGAUUUACUGGGUGUAAAGGGUGCGUAGGCGGCACUGCAAGUCAGGCGUGAAAUAUAUGGGCUUAACCCAUAGACUGCGUUUGAAACUGUGGUGCUUGAGUGAAGUAGAGGUAGGCGGAAUUCCCGGUGUAGCGGUGAAAUGCGUAGAGAUCGGGAGGAACACCAGUGGAGAAGGCGGCUUACUGGGCUUUAACUGACGCUGAGGCCAGAAAGCAUGGGUAGCAAACAGGAUUAGAUACCCUGGUAGUCCAUGCCGUAAACGAUGAUUACUAGGUGUGGGGGGUCUGACCCCUUCCUUGCCGGAGUUAACACAAUAAGUAAUCCACCUGGGGAGUACGGCCGCAAGGUUGA
rnacentral:rRNA from 1 species